rnacentral:lncRNA from 1 species
ACUUGUAAAAGACUUUUGUACCAUUACUGCAACACUUAUUGAUCCAAACAAGAUUAAAAACACUCAAGAUACUCAAAGAGCAUCAAAAGGUGACUUAGAGCAAAUUUCAAAUGACGUGAACACAAAUGGAGUUCCAAACCUGAAAGUUUCAGUGGACCAGUAAUAAGAUCAAAGGCAAAGAAACAUAAAGAGUUGCUCCAAGUUUUCACUCAAAAACAUGUGGAUGAUGGGCUGGCCAAUUGUGGAAGUAAAAUAUGAGUUUUUUGAACAGCCCAAAUUCGUAACUUUAAUUGGGUUUAAAUGAUUUGGGAUAAUUUGGGCUUGUUUGAGUCUUAUUGGUAAUGGGUGAAUAAGCCUUGUGUAUGCCCUGGAUUAGUUGAGUUGUUUU